rnacentral:lncRNA from 1 species
UGAAAGGAAAACAAACAAUGAAAUGAAAAUUAAAUUGCAAGACAUGAAGUAAACAUUCAAGGAAAAAAAAACAGUAAACCUAAUCAUGCAAUUCUAAAAAUGUAAAAGAGAAAACAAUCGAGAAAGGAAGGAAACCCGCAACUCGUCGGGCUUUAUACAAUACAUGAAACCCGAGACAUAUGUCGGGAAAAUGAAUAUUACAUGACAAUGGUCGGAAUGGACAUCGACCUUCACCAUCUUCACGCUUUAUCCAUGUUCAGGAUCCUAUUCUAAACCUAGUCUAAGAAAUAAGAAUCCCUUGCCUCAGCUUAUAUGACUAAGACAAUGCAUAGAAAUCAUUAUUACAACGAACAGACAUAGGCAUCAGACAUGAACAUGAAUCUAGCAAAUUCAAG